UACGUAGGGGGCUAGCGUUGUCCGGAUUUAUUGGGCGUAAAGAGCGUGUAGGCGGCCAGGUAGGUCUGGUGUGAAAACUCGAGGCUUAACCUCGAGAUGUCAUCGGAAACCAUCUGGCUAGAGUCCGGAAGAGGAGAGUGGAAUUCCUGGUGUAGCGGUGAAAUGCGCAGAUAUCAGGAAGAACACCAUGCGAAAAGCAGCUCUCUGGGGACGGUA
rnacentral:rRNA from 1 species